AUUGAACGCUGGCGGCAGGCCUAACACAUGCAAGUCGAACGAGUGGCGGACGGGUGAGUAAUGUCUGGGCAACUGCCUGAGGGAGGGGGAUAACUACUGGAAACGGUAGCUAAUACCGCAUACCAUCAGAUGGGCCCAGAGGGGAUUAGCUAGUUGGUGGGGUAACGGCUCACCAAGGCGACGAUCCCUAGCUGGCCUGAGAGGAUGACCGGCCACACUGGAACUGAGACACGGUCCAGACUCCUACGGGAGGAAGCAGUGGGGAAUAUUGCACAAUGGACGCAAGCCUGAUGAAGCCAUGCCGCGUGUAUGAAGAAGGCCUUCGGGUUGUAAAAUACUUUCAGCGGGGAGGCGUUACCCGCAGAAGAAGCACCGGCUAACUCCGUGCCAGCAGCCGCGGUAAUAC
rnacentral:rRNA from 1 species